UGGGGAAUUUUGGACAAUGGGCGAAAGCCUGAUCCAGCAAUGCCGCGUGUGUGAAGAAGGCCUUCGGGUUGUAAAGCACUUUUGUCCGGAAAGAAAUCCUUGGCUCUAAUACAGUCGGGGGAUGACGGUACCGGAAGAAUAAGCACCGGCUAACUACGUGCCAGCAGCCGCGGUAAUACGUAGGGUGCAAGCGUUAAUCGGAAUUACUGGGCGUAAAGCGUGCGCAGACUGGUUGCAUAAGACCGAUGUGAAAUCCCCGGGGCUCAACCUGGGAACUGCAUUGGUGACUGGCAGGCUAGAGUAUGGCAGAGGGGGGUAGAAUUCCACGUGUAGCAGUGAAAUGCGUAGAGAUGUGGAGGAAUACCGAUGGCGAAGGCAGCCCCCUGGGCCAAUACUGACGCUCAUGCACGAAAGCGUGGGGAGCAAACAGGAUUAGAUACCCUGGUAGUCCACGCCCUAAACGAUGUCAACUAGUUGUUGGGGAUUCAUUUCCUUAGUAACGUAGCUAACGCGUGAAGUUGACCGCCUGGGGAGUACGGUCGCAAGAUUAAAACUUAAAUGAAUUGACGGGGUCAUAGCUG
rnacentral:rRNA from 1 species